AGCAGAUGUGUCUUUGUUUUG
rnacentral:siRNA from 1 species